GGUUAAGCGACUAAGCGUACACGGUGGAUGCCCUGGCAGUCAGAGGCGAUGAAGGACGUGCUAAUCUGCGAUAAGCGUCGGUAAGGUGAUAUGAACCGUUAUAACCGGCGAUUUCCGAAUGGGGAAACCCAGUGUGUUUCGACACACUAUCAUUAACUGAAUCCAUAGGUUAAUGAGGCGAACCGGGGGAACUGAAACAUCUAAGUACCCCGAGGAAAAGAAAUCAACCGAGAUUCCCCCAGUAGCGGCGAGCGAACGGGGAGCAGCCCAGAGUCUGAAUCAGUGUGUGUGUUAGUGGAAGCGUCUGGAAAGGCGCGCGAUACAGGGUGACAGCCCCGUACACAAAAAUGCACAUACUGUGAGCUCGAUGAGUAGGGCGGGACACGUGGUAUCCUGUCUGAAUAUGGGGGGACCAUCCUCCAAGGCUAAAUACUCCUGACUGACCGAUAGUGAACCAGUACCGUGAGGGAAAGGCGAAAAGAACCCCGGCGAGGGGAGUGAAAAAGAACCUGAAACCGUGUACGUACAAGCAGUGGGAGCCUCUUUUAUGGGGUGACUGCGUACCUUUUGUAUAAUGGGUCAGCGACUUAUAUUCUGUAGCAAGGUUAACCGAAUAGGGGAGCCGAAGGGAAACCGAGUCUUAACUGGGCGUUAAGUUGCAGGGUAUAGACCCGAAACCCGGUGAUCUAGCCAUGGGCAGGUUGAAGGUUGGGUAACACUAACUGGAGGACCGAACCGACUAAUGUUGAAAAAUUAGCGGAUGACUUGUGGCUGGGGGUGAAAGGCCAAUCAAACCGGGAGAUAGCUGGUUCUCCCCGAAAGCUAUUUAGGUAGCGCCUCGUGAAUUCAUCUCCGGGGGUAGAGCACUGUUUCGGCAAGGGGGUCAUCCCGACUUACCAACCCGAUGCAAACUGCGAAUACCGGAGAAUGUUAUCACGGGAGACACACGGCGGGUGCUAACGUCCGUCGUGAAGAGGGAAACAACCCAGACCGCCAGCUAAGGUCCCAAAGUCAUGGUUAAGUGGGAAACGAUGUGGGAAGGCCCAGACAGCCAGGAUGUUGGCUUAGAAGCAGCCAUCAUUUAAAGAAAGCGUAAUAGCUCACUGGUCGAGUCGGCCUGCGCGGAAGAUGUAACGGGGCUAAACCAUGCACCGAAGCUGCGGCAGCGACGCUUAUGCGUUGUUGGGUAGGGGAGCGUUCUGUAAGCCUGUGAAGGUGUGCUGUGAGGCAUGCUGGAGGUAUCAGAAGUGCGAAUGCUGACAUAAGUAACGAUAAAGCGGGUGAAAAGCCCGCUCGCCGGAAGACCAAGGGUUCCUGUCCAACGUUAAUCGGGGCAGGGUGAGUCGACCCCUAAGGCGAGGCCGAAAGGCGUAGUCGAUGGGAAACAGGUUAAUAUUCCUGUACUUGGUGUUACUGCGAAGGGGGGACGGAGAAGGCUAUGUUGGCCGGGCGACGGUUGUCCCGGUUUAAGCGUGUAGGCUGGUUUUCCAGGCAAAUCCGGAAAAUCAAGGCUGAGGCGUGAUGACGAGGCACUACGGUGCUGAAGCAACAAAUGCCCUGCUUCCAGGAAAAGCCUCUAAGCAUCAGGUAACAUCAAAUCGUACCCCAAACCGACACAGGUGGUCAGGUAGAGAAUACCAAGGCGCUUGAGAGAACUCGGGUGAAGGAACUAGGCAAAAUGGUGCCGUAACUUCGGGAGAAGGCACGCUGAUAUGUAGGUGAAGUCCCUCGCGGAUGGAGCUGAAAUCAGUCGAAGAUACCAGCUGGCUGCAACUGUUUAUUAAAAACACAGCACUGUGCAAACACGAAAGUGGACGUAUACGGUGUGACGCCUGCCCGGUGCCGGAAGGUUAAUUGAUGGGGUCAGCGCAAGCGAAGCUCUUGAUCGAAGCCCCGGUAAACGGCGGCCGUAACUAUAACGGUCCUAAGGUAGCGAAAUUCCUUGUCGGGUAAGUUCCGACCUGCACGAAUGGCGUAAUGAUGGCCAGGCUGUCUCCACCCGAGACUCAGUGAAAUUGAACUCGCUGUGAAGAUGCAGUGUACCCGCGGCAAGACGGAAAGACCCCGUGAACCUUUACUAUAGCUUGACACUGAACAUUGAGCCUUGAUGUGUAGGAUAGGUGGGAGGCUUUGAAGUGUGGACGCCAGUCUGCAUGGAGCCGACCUUGAAAUACCACCCUUUAAUGUUUGAUGUUCUAACGUUGACCCGUAAUCCGGGUUGCGGACAGUGUCUGGUGGGUAGUUUGACUGGGGCGGUCUCCUCCUAAAGAGUAACGGAGGAGCACGAAGGUUGGCUAAUCCUGGUCGGACAUCAGGAGGUUAGUGCAAUGGCAUAAGCCAGCUUGACUGCGAGCGUGACGGCGCGAGCAGGUGCGAAAGCAGGUCAUAGUGAUCCGGUGGUUCUGAAUGGAAGGGCCAUCGCUCAACGGAUAAAAGGUACUCCGGGGAUAACAGGCUGAUACCGCCCAAGAGUUCAUAUCGACGGCGGUGUUUGGCACCUCGAUGUCGGCUCAUCACAUCCUGGGGCUGAAGUAGGUCCCAAGGGUAUGGCUGUUCGCCAUUUAAAGUGGUACGCGAGCUGGGUUUAGAACGUCGUGAGACAGUUCGGUCCCUAUCUGCCGUGGGCGCUGGAGAACUGAGGGGGGCUGCUCCUAGUACGAGAGGACCGGAGUGGACGCAUCACUGGUGUUCGGGUUGUCAUGCCAAUGGCACUGCCCGGUAGCUAAAUGCGGAAGAGAUAAGUGCUGAAAGCAUCUAAGCACGAAACUUGCCCCGAGAUGAGUUCUCCCUGACCCUUUAAGGGUCCUGAAGGAACGUUGAAGACGACGACGUUGAUAGGCCGGGUGUGUAAGCGCAGCGAUGCGUUGAGCUAACCGGUACUAAUGAACCGUGAGGCUUAACCUU
rnacentral:rRNA from 1 species